rnacentral:rRNA from 1 species
UGAGGAACAUGACCUUCGGCGGGGGAUAGCCGGCCCAACGGCCGGGUAAUACCGCGUACGACCACAUGGGGACAUCCCUGAGUGGUGAAAGCAGCAAUGCGCCGAUGGAGUGCCUCGCGGCCUAUCAGCUAGUUGGUGAGGUAAUGGCUCACCAAGGCGACGGACGGGUAGCUGGUCUGAGAGGAUGGCCAGCCCACUAGUUGGGGACUGGAGACACCGGCCCAGAUCCCGUAACGGGG